AUUGAACGCUGGCGGCAUGCUUUACACAUGCAAGUCGAACGGUAACAGGCCUUCGGGCGCCGACGAGUGGCGAACGGGUGAGUAAUACAUCGGAACGUGCCUAGUAGUGGGGGAUAACUACUCGAAAGAGUGGCUAAUACCGCAUGAGAUCUACGGAUGAAAGCAGGGGAUCGCAAGACCUUGUGCUACUAGAGCGGCCGAUGGCAGAUUAGGUAGUUGGUGGGAUAAAAGCUUACCAAGCCGACGAUCUGUAGCUGGUCUGAGAGGACGAUCAGCCACACUGGGACUGAGACACGGCCCAGACUCCUACGGGAGGCAGCAGUGGGGAAUUUUGGACAAUGGGCGCAAGCCUGAUCCAGCAAUGCCGCGUGCAGGAUGAAGGCCUUCGGGUUGUAAACUGCUUUUGUACGGAACGAAAAGCCCUGGGUUAAUACCCUGGGGUCAUGACGGUACCGUAAGAAUAAGCACCGGCUAACUACGUGCCAGCAGCCGCCGUAA
rnacentral:rRNA from 1 species